rnacentral:rRNA from 1 species
UACCGCGGUUAAACGAGAGGCCCCAGUUGAUAAUACCGCGGCGUAAAGGGUGGUUAAGGGCUCCAACCAAUAAAGCUAAAUAGCCCCCCGGCCGUCAUACGCUUCCGGGCGCUAGAGACCCAAUUGCACGAAAGUAGCUUUAGUGAUACUCACCUGACCCCACGAAAGCUGAGAAA